UACGGAGGAUCCAAGCGUUAUCCGGAAUCAUUGGGCUUAAAGGGUCCGUAGGCGGUUUAAUAAGUCAGUGGUGAAAGCCCAUCGCUCAACGGUGGAACGGCCAUUGAUACUGUUAAACUUGAAUUAUUAGGAAGUAACUAGAAUAUGUAGUGUAGCGGUGAAAUGCUUAGAGAUUACAUGGAAUACCAAUUGCGAAGGCAGGUUACUGGUAAUGGAUUGACGCUGAUGGACGAAAGCGUGGGUAGCAAACAGG
rnacentral:rRNA from 1 species